rnacentral:lncRNA from 1 species
GAAGUAUUGAGAGACUUGACAGUAUCUUUGGUUGGGUGCGAAUGAAGACUGAUAAGGAUGUUAGGGAAAUGAUGUUCGGUCGAGACGACAUCAAUUUGAUUGUUGUAAUCAGUUAGAAAUUGAGAGACUUGACAGUAUCUUUGGUUGGGUGCGAAUGAAGACUGAUAAGGAUGUUAGGGAAAUGAUGUUCGGUCGAGACGACAUCAAUUUGAUUGUUGUAAUCAGUU